rnacentral:rRNA from 1 species
GAUGAACGCUAGCGGCAGGCCUAAUACAUGCAAGUCGAACGGUGUAGCAAUACACAGUGGCGCACGGGUGCGUAACACGUAUGCAACCUACCUAUUAUUGGGGGAUAGCCUUUGGAAACGGAGAUUAAUACCGCAUAAGACAGUGACAUGGCAUCAUGUAGCUGUUAAAGCUUCGGCGAUAAUAGAUGGGCAUGCGUCCAAUUAGUUAGUUGGUGAGGUAACGGCUCACCAAGACGAUGAUUGGUAGGGGAUCUGAGAGGAUAAUCCCCCACACUGGCACUGAGAUACGGGCCAGACUCCUACGGGGGGCAGCAGUAGGGAAUAUUGGGCAAUGGGCGGAAGCCUGACCCAGCCAUGCCGCGUGCAGGAUGACGGCGUUAUGCGUUGUAAACUGCUUUUUUAUAGGAAGAAGAAGCCCUUGCGAGGGAAAGUGACGGUACUAUAAGAAUAAGCACCGGCUAACUCCGUGCCAGCCGCCGCGGUAACAC